AGAUAAUAUGGGGCUCUGUGGGCCAUCAUGAGGACUUCAGCUUUUACCUCGGCAUGAGAUGGGAAACCACUGGAGAAUCUAGAGGAGAAAGGGAUGAUCUGCCCUUCAACAGGAUCAUCCAGGCUACUCCGGUGAAUAUAGACCAUAUGAGGGCAAAGAUUGGAAGCUAGGUGAGCAGUUAGAAGGCUACUGCAAUAGCUAUGUGAGAGAGAUGAACUAGGAGAGUAGCAGUGGAGAUCUGAGAUACGGCAAAGUCUAGAUAUAACACAAAGGAAUAGCCGACAGAAUUUGCUUUUGGAUUGGCUGUAUUGUAGGAGAGAAAAAAUAGGGUGCAUUUUUGGGUUGAGCAAAGAGAAGAAUGAAGAUUCCUUGUACUGAGAUGGGGAAAACUGCAGGAGGAGUGGGUCUGAAAGAGAUGAGGCAUAUCUGAGGCACAGAGAGGUUAAGUUGGGGACUGAAGUGUGGCUCCAGAAUCUAAGUUUCUAACUGCCAUGCUAUGACUGACCCCACUGGACUCAUGACUCAUGGACUCAGCUGGUCCUGUGGCCCUACCCAGAAGUGGACUCAGCACACGAGGACCAUUUCCCACACUCCUGUGAUUUCAUCCCCAAUUAUUCAGCAGUACCCUUUCCAUAGCCCCUUGCCCACCAAGUUGUCCAUAAAAACCCUAGCCUCUGAGCUUUUGGGGAGAUGGAGUUGAGUAAUAACUCCAUCUACUGCAUGGCUGGCCUUGUGUCAAUUAAACUUUUUUCUUUACUGCAAUAACAUGGUCUCAGUGAACUGAUUUUGUUCAUGCAGGAGGCAGGAAAAGCCCCUUGGGUGAUUACACAGUGGUUCUCAAAGUAUGGACCUCCAACCAGCAGCAUCAGCAGCAUCUGGAUACUUGCUAGAAAUGGAAAUUCUCUGGCCCUAUUCCAGGCCUUCCAAGUUGGAAACUUUGUGAUGGGGCCCAGCACUCUGUGUUUUAACAAGCCCUCUAGGCUUAAGGAAAACAACUCUGAGGACUUUUGUCACGGACUUGAAAUUCUCAUCUGUGCUUGGACAAGACUCUGAAACAUACCAACUGUGUAUUUUCCUGCCUUUGGUAAAUCUGGAGCUAUUAACUGAUUCUAAAGAACAUUUGACUUAAAAAGACUAUGGAAAGCCCAAAGAAUAAAGGGACACUUGUCACUGGAUUGAAGGCAUAUUCUAAUUUAGGACAAUGUCUUGAGAUCUUUAACUUAACUACAUUUGCAAAGACCCAAUUUCCAAGUAACUGGAACAUUCGUAAGUUCAAGUUAAACAUGUCUUUUGUGGGGAGCAGCCAUUCAAUUCAUGGAACUAUCUUUAUACCUAAUUAAGCACUGUAUCAUAUAAUCCUUACAUGUGGAGUAUCGUCUGCAUUUAAGAGAUAGUUAAUUGACGCUCAAGGAAAUCUGUAUCAGCUUGUUUGCAUUUCUUCCUCACUCCUCACUUAAACCUGAUAUGAUUUCUGCUUCCUUUUUUUUUUUUUUGCUUAACUGUUAGCU
rnacentral:lncRNA from 1 species